rnacentral:rRNA from 1 species
GAACCGUGCGAACGUUAUUCGGAAUCACUGGGCUUAAAGAGCACGUAGGCGGCGUCGUAAGUUGGAGGUGAAAUCCCAUCGGCUCAACCGUGGAACUGCCUUUGAUACUGCGAUGCUUGAGGGAGGUAGAGGCAUGUGGAACUUCCAGUGGAGCGGUGAAAUGCGUUGAGAUUGGAAGGAACGCCAGUGGCGAAAGCGACAUGCUGGAUCUCUUCUGACGCUGAGGUGCGAAAGCUAGGGUAGCGAACGGGAUUAGAUACCCCGGUAGUCCUAGCCCUAAACGAUGGGUACUGGGUAGGAAGUGCUCCCGAUGGCGCCUCCCGCCGGAGCGAAAGUGUUAAGUACCCCCGCCUGGGAGUAUGGUCGCAAGGCUG